UCUAUAAAGCUGGAGUUCCUUUCACUGAAAUGAAUGAGAGAGCUAAAGGCAUGCCUUAUGGCUAGGGCUAUAAACAACUAUAACAGGACAUAUCAAAUAUACCUAACAAUUGUGCAUAGAUUUCAACACAACUGUAUUUCACAUACUUACUUGACUAGAACACAAGCGAAUGAAUUCCUUAGUGUCUGGGCAGGAGUGUCUAUAGCGCAAAUAUUGCAAAUAAAAUGUUUUAUGCAUCAGGAUAACCAGAACAGGCAGGAGUAUCAUUAAUGUCUGAAAUCAAUGCUAAACUAGGUUACUUUUACUUACAUUUCCCAAGUUAUUUUGCAGUGACGCCUUCACCUUGACCCUGAGAGCACAGGAAGUUUCACAUCAGAUUAUGAAGGAGACAGGAAGUUUGUAAAGAUCCAUUUUGGUAAAGGUAGGAUGAACUCCAUCAGACACUGGUCACUCAGUCAGUAGGCUCUUUAGGUCUCCUGCCUUGCACUAUGAUUGUGUCUCAUGCCUGGACUAAAUUAACGUUGUACAAGGAAAACAUCCUUGAAGUUUCGGAAAUAUGUUUUUAUGGACUUUCCCUAGAUGAAUAAAAGAUUUUCUCCAGCUGAAGUAUUUAGUUGCCAUGGAAACGGAAUCCCACCCUAGAACUCUAUUUAGCUGGAUUCACAUUUGGCUUCUAAAAACUGAUCCUGUGACUGUGACACUUGGACUUUAUAAGAACAUUCGUUUAUACAGCAAGUUAUCUCUGUUUAUGGCAGCAGGUGUAUGGCUCGGAUUUAUUUUGGAUUUGUCCUAAUGGUUUAAUAGAAAUAGGGCUAAAAAGAAUGUCAAUACACUGUUAACAAAAAUGGACAAUGGCUGCUCUUGGUCUUAAAAAAAAUACCCUCUCCUAUUUAUUUCUUUUAAAGGGAGAUUUACAUUUGGGAUUGUCUAUAUAUUUCAAAAUGUAGGUCAAGCAUUCUUCCUGACCUGCAAAAUGAAUCAUCCCAGCUCCAAACAGAUGAGUCCUAUUAAUUUAAAUGGCGACUGGAAACUAAGAGAGUCUGUAAUUUGAAUAAACCAAAACACUAUAACAAUUUGAAAACAGGAACACAUGUUGUUUAAAAAACGCAUCAGUCAAAAUCCAUUUUUCAA